AGAGUUUGAUCCUGGCUCAGGAUGAACGCUGGCGGCGUGCCUGAUACAUGCAAGUCGAGCGGUAAGGCCCCUUCGGGGGUACACGAGCGGCGGACGGCUGAGUAACGCGUAGGAACGUACCCCAAAGUGAGGGAUAAGCAUUGGAAACAGUGUCUAAUACCGCAUGUGAUCUUCGGAUUAAAGCUUCGGCGCUUUGGGAACGGCCUGCGUAAGAUUAGCUUGUUGGUGAGGUAAUGGCUCACCAAGGCGACGAUCUUUAGCUGGUCUGAGAGGAUGAUCAGCCAGACUGGGACUGAGACACGGCCCAGACUCCUACGGGAGGCAGCAGUAGGGAAUUUUCCACAAUGGGCGAAAGCCUGAUGGAGCAACGCCGCGUGCAGGAUGAAUGCCUUAGGGUUGUAAACUGCUUUUAUAUGUGACGAAUAUGACGGUAGCAUAUGAAUAAGGAUCGGCUAACUCCGUGCCAGCAGCCGCGGUCAUACGGAGGAUCCAAGCGUUAUCCGGAAUUACUGGGCGUAAAGAGUUGCGUAGGUGGCAUAGUAAGCGAGUAGUGAAAGCGUUCGGCUCAACCGGAUACACAUUACUUGAACUGCUAAGCUUGAGGAUGAGAGAGGUUAUUGGAAUUCCCUGUGUAGGAGUGAAAUCCGCAGAUAUAGGGAGGAACACCGAUGGCGUAGGCAGAUAACUGGCUCAUUCCUGACACUAAGGCACGAAAGCGUGGGGAGCAAACGGGAUUAGAUACCCUGGUAGUCC
rnacentral:rRNA from 1 species